rnacentral:lncRNA from 1 species
GUUUUGCAGCGAAUUACAAGACAUCAAAACUCCGUGUCACGUCUAAGUCAUAGCGUUUGUUUUAGGAAUUGUAUGAAAUGUAUUUUGUUUUAUUGGAUCGAUCAUACGAGGAGGUUGUCGUUUGGUGAUUGUGAUAAUUUUUUGAUUAUUUUGUUUCUGUGUAUUGGAUGAGCAUUGUAUUAUGUUUUGUCACGAAAUCGCCAAAGGGAGAAAUUGUUAAGGAUUUUCUAGAUUAGCAGAUUUCGUUAAGUCGUGUGGAGUCUUGAAGGGUUGACGACGAUGAUCUCAAGAUUCGUGGUGAAAAGACUCGUCUAUGAUACUCAUCUAUCUUAGGUAUGUGCGUUUCUAAUUUGUGGUGAUUUUUGCACGUUUGUAAGUGUUUGGGAGACUUAGAAAUGGUUUGUGAAUGUUUAAAAUUA